UGGACAAAUUAUUGUAUUCGAUUGUAUUAACGACAUGAAAUAGAGGAUUACACUGUUUUUAAAACGGAAAGUGAAUUAAUUAACAUAAUAGACUCCU
rnacentral:pre_miRNA from 1 species